UUUUCUUGUUGCUAUUUUCCUCUAGGCGGGGAGGGGCAAAAACAGAUAGCGAGAAACAGAGUAGCCAUGAGCAAAAAUGGCAAUGGACAAAAAAAAUAGAGAUUAAAUAUCUUUUGAGAGAGCCAGUUUUCGAGGUUUAGCAACGGAAGACAGAGCUGCAGAUCAAAUUGAUCAGACAAGUGUAACGCUCAAAACGAGGAAUUAAUAAUAAUAAUAAUAAUAAUUUAAAAAUAAGUAGCAGGUUUAAAUUAAGGUGGAGGGUGAUUUAAGUCUAGCUAUCCUUUCAAAAAUAAAACCAAUGCAUAAAGGAUCAAGUGAGAAAGGGGGUUAUUAAAAAAAAAAAAAAAGCAAAGAAAAAAAAAGGCAGCUUUUCUAUCCAGUGUGAAGAGCAGAAAGUCUACUUCUAGGUUGUCACUUACACUAUUAUUCUCCAAUAGGCACCCAGAGGAGCAGCACACACAGAAGGAGCCCGCUCCCCUCCCCCUCCGCAAAAAUAUACACCGUAACAGCCCCCAAACUUUCUGCGGAAACCUCAGCCCCAGAGAUCGCUACUGGAGAUAAAAAGAGGAAAAAAAAAGUGGAGAGAAAAUUGCAGGAAAAGGCACUAAAAUGCCACUUUUAAUCUCGCCUCUGCGGUCCGGGGAGGGGAAAAAAAAAAAAAAAAAAGAAAAAAAAAAAGGCAGAGAGGACCUGUCUCCUCUCAUUUACCGGGGGCUGUUGUGCGAGUGACGGGGGGGAGAGAGGGAGCGAGAGAGGAGGGGAGAGAGAAAAAGAACAGAGAGGAGGAAGGAAACACACAACAAGGCACACAACCACCACUACAAAAAAGUGACGAGGUUUCACUCCCUCCGAGUCCAACACCGGGAGAAAUUAUAAUUUAAAAAAACCCCGAUCCUAUUAGGAAAAAAAAAAAAAAAAGAUAAAAAAAGGAGAAAAAGAAAACCAACAACAAAAAAACUGGUUCUGCUUCUGCAAAGAAAAAAAAAGAAAAUCUGGGAACUCCGAAAAGAGUUACUCGCAAGAAGGGGUAAAAAAAAUAAAAUAGAAAGGUUGCAAAAAGCCAACAACAACAAAAACCAAGCCAGCAAAAAAACCCCCAGUAACAAUUGAAAAAGAAUAAUAAUGGUAGGCUUUGUAUUUUGUCUUUUUUUUUUUUUUUUUUUUUUUUUAAUUCUCGUUUCCCCUGGCUGGCUGGGUAUGGUUGUUAUUUAGGCCGGUUUGGUGGUUGUUGCUGGAUGUUACAUGGAUAUGUGCGUGUGUAUGUGUGUGUGUCCCCGGACGGAGCUGCCUCGCUCUGCUCCCCCCCCUCCUCUCUCUCUCCCUCUCUGUUUCUGUCCCCAUUAAAUUAUUAGUUGACUCAUCACUACUCCUCCUCCUCCUGCUGCUGCCGCCGCCGUCCCCUGCUCACAGCCUCCUCUCCUCCUCUCCGCUACCGCUCGCUGCCGCUGCUGCCGCUGCUUCUUCUUCCUCCUCCUCAUUUUAAUACAAAAUAACACCGAGGCCACCGGCUUUUUUUUUUUUUUUUUUUUUUUUUUUUUCCCCACAGCCGGAGACGGGAGGAGGACGCAGCCUCCCUGCUGCUGCCCGGAGCCCUUCCCCAGCGGCCCCGGAUCAUCCGACGCGUCCUGGGAGAGAGAGAGAAAGUGGCAGAGGAGGAGGAGGAAGAUGAGGAGGAGGAGGGGUGAAAGAACAGCGCCAGCCACGGUUCUGAAAGGCGGCCGAGGCUGAGUGAAACCGGCCUCGUUCCGCGCAGGGCAUCAUCCACCGCGGUCUGCUGGCUCCGGUGAGCGCCGCGGCCAACCAGAGCAAGCUGCAACGCACCGUGGGCGAGAGCGAUACAUCGCUCCGCGCUCGGGGCGGCGAGAUGCCACAUUCCCCACGCCACAAAACUGCCCCUGUGUCAAGUCCGCAGCGUGGGACCGAAAGCCACCCCUGAAAGGUGAAAGCUAAAAGGUGGUAAAGUAUUGACAAAAUAAGUGUCUGCGAGACAGACAUGGCUUUCUCCCAUCAUGCACUUGGAAGAAAGUAACCCAACUAGACAAACUUGAAAGCAACAAGUUUGUACAAGCUGCGAGAUAAGGGAAAAAUUAAACUUCUUUAUUGAUAAAAUGCAUAGUGUUUGAAUUGACUAUGUCUAAAGGGAGAGUUGCAUCAUCGACCAAAGAAAACAUGAAUUACUGCAUAGACAGGUAUAUAGCCAAAAUGUUUAGGGCAGCAACUUUAAAACAACCGACAACAAAGCAACAACAAAAUACAAACAUGAGGCAGCAGCAAAAGUAGGUGAGUGAGAAGGCUAAUACCAGUCCUGUAAUACACAAAAUAGAAUGGCCUCUCAACACAGAAAGGGAAAAUCAUUAAGUCUAUAAAGAGAAAAUUUUGCACUACGCAUAUUUUACUUAUUAUUAAAGAAGAGGAAUGCACCAAGACAAGGUAAAGAAUCACAUUGAUGUUUACUAAAAUAAGCACAAACAGCAUAUAGGACAUGCAGGAAAAAGAAAAUGGUAAUAGGGCAAAAUGCAUGAAAUAUUUAUCAUAUUCUGCAAUGCAUAAAAUAGAUUAUAAUCUCAGAAGCAAAGAAAUUCAAGGCUGGAAAAUGAAUACACUGUUACAUAAUACUAUUAUUCAAAGCAGAGCAAGUGGAGGUGGCAUAUGUAUGAAACAUGAAAAGUUGUACCUAUGUUGUGUGUCUUGAAAAGGCUUACUAAGAUCAUUACCGAGACUGCUGAAAAGGAAAAAUAAAAACCAAAACCCAAAACCAAAGAAACAUGUUUCACAAAAAAAAACAAGGGGAAAUGUAGAUGACAUCUUCCAUAACAUAUGAUCAAGGGGUAACUGUCUAGCGGGUUGUUGUUUGUUUAAAAACCAAUCUUUUUUUCAACAAGAUAGAGUAUCAAUCAGUCCCUCUUUAAAAAAAAAAUAUAUAUAUAUAUAUGUAUUUCCCAAUUGAAUAUUUGGAGGAAAACUGUAUUAACUAAUUUAAUUCAAAGUUUGUGGGCACAAUGGAAAAUAUCAGUGUAUUAUUUUUUCAAGCUUUUCAAAAAAGCCUGAUAAGGUAAACUUAAACUUCAGCAGUAAGCCAGACUGUCCACUAAAGAAGAAAAUCAUGAAGGAUGUGAGUUUCAGCUGGCAGUAUGCUGCCUGCAGCAUGAUGGAGGAAAAGGACACUAAGAUAAUUUAAGAGAUGCAGAGCUGAUUAGAAUAGAGCAAAUAUGAUCUGGAACAAGAUUUGGGACUAAAAUACCACCUUAUAAAAAUGAUUACUAGAUAUAACAAUAACAAAACCAAAUAACAACAACAAAAGAUUAAAAUCUUCUAAAAUAACUUUUGCUUUGGUGUUCACAAAUCAUUCUGUUCCUGGUUAAAAAAAAAAAAAAGACAAACCAAAACAACACAAUGUUUGGAUUAAAACAAAGUGAUUAAUCUAAAAAGCAGAGAUGGUGAAUUAAAGGAGCAGGGAGAUAACAAUCUGAUAAUACAGGAGCACAGAAGGCCUAAUAAUGAUAUUAUUACGCACAUAACCAAACACUGACAAACAAAUAUUCUGUUAAUUAUAUAAUUGUGCAUAUGCUUCCUAUGCUUGAGAAAAAUGAUUAUGGAAAAGAACUCUCUUCUUGAAAUUGCAUAUAUGCACUAUAAACCUUAUAAACUCUCUACCACAUGGAUUAAUCUAAUUCCCAUACACCACUUAUGCCUGGUAAAGUAUUUACUACAGACUUGGAAAGCUGAGCAUGAAACCCUUGCUUUGACUAGAAAGCACGAAUUACUGAAGGUUGCUACGUCUUGACAGAUAUUCAACAAUCAGAUAUCUCUUAUCAAUACCGAACUACUUGGAAAUAAUUCAAGAUACAGAUAUCUGAUUUUCAUUUGACCUAUUCCAAUUUGCACUUCACUGUGUCAACUUUGAUAUUAAAAUGUUCAGCUAGAAUAAAGAUAUUUAUAAUAAAAACAUAUAUAAAGAACAGAAGAUGAAUAGAUAUUGUCAUGGAUACAUAUGCAGGCAAUCAUUUAAACACGCGGCAAUAGUAACAUCCCAUUUUUCAUAGCUUCCAGUCAACGUACAGCAGGCAAAUAUAUGCUUAAUAAAGGUUAUUAAUCCUUAAUAAA